ACACGUAGGGGCCUGACGUUGUUCGGAAUCAUUGGGCGUAAAGGGCGCGCAGGCGGCCGCCCAAGUCCGGUGUUAAACGGUUGGGCUCAACCCGACCAUGCGCUGGAAACUGGGCGGCUUGAGUCCCGUACGGGAUGCCGGAAUUCCAGGUGUAGGGGGGAAAUCUGUAGAUAUCAGGAAGAACACCGAUGGCGAAGGCAGGCAUCUGGCCGGAGAAUGACGCUGAGGCGCGAAGGCGCGGGGAGCGAACAGGUUUAGAUACCCUGGUAGUCCGCGCAGUAAACGACGCGCACCAGGUGUCGGGCGGCAGUGCCCGGUACCGGAGCUAACGCGAUGAGUGCGCCGCCUGGGGAGUAUGCCCGCAAGGGUGAAACUCAAAUGAAUUGACGGGG
rnacentral:rRNA from 1 species